CUUCCAGUAGCACCUUAGAGACCAACUAAGUUUGAUAUUGGUAUGAGCUUUCGUGUGCAUGCACACUUCUCAUACCAAUAACAAACUUAGUUGGUCUCUAAGGUGCUACUGGAAG